CACGUAGGGCGCAAGCGUUGUCCGGAAUUAUUGGGCGUAAAGAGCUCGUAGGCGGUCUGUUGCGUCCGCUGUGAAAACUCGGGGGCUUAACCCCGAGCCUGCAGUGGAUACGGGCAGACUAGAGGUAGGUAGGGGGAGAAUGGAAUUCCCAGUGUAGAGGUGAAAAUUCGUAGAUAUUGGGAAGAACACCGGUGGCGAAGGCGGCUCACUGGCUCCGUAUCUGACGCUCAGGCGCGACAGCGUGGGGAUCGAAACAGG
rnacentral:rRNA from 1 species